AUUGAACGCUGGCGGCAGGCCUAACACAUGCAAGUCGAACGGUAACAGGAAACAGCUUGCUGUUUCGCUGACGAGUGGCGGACGGGUGAGUAAUGUCUGGGAAACUGCCUGAUGGAGGGGGAUAACUACUGGAAACGGUAGCUAAUACCGCAUAACGUCGCAAGACCAAAGAGGGGGACCCUCGGGCCUCUUGCCAUCGGAUGUGCCCAGAUGGGAUUAGCUUGUUGGUGGGGUAACGGCUCACCAAGGCGACGAUCCCUAGCUGGUCUGAGAGGAUGACCAGCCACACUGGAACUGAGACACGGUCCAGACUCCUACGGGAGGCAGCAGUGGGGAAUAUUGCACAAUGGGCGCAAGCCUGAUGCAGCCAUGCCGCGUGUAUGAAGAAGGCCUUCGGGUUGUAAAGUACUUUCAGCGGGGAGGAAGGGAGUAAAGUUAAUACCUUUGCUCAUUGACGUUACCCGCAGAAGCAGCACCGGCUAACUCCGUG
rnacentral:rRNA from 1 species